rfam:Hyphomicrobium denitrificans ATCC 51888, complete genome.
CAAUGGAAUGCGGAAGAGUCCGGACAGCUUAAAGCUUGAGCCGGCGCCGAAGGAGCAACCGCCCCGGAAACUCUCAGGCAAACAAACCGUAUUCCGACG